rnacentral:rRNA from 1 species
GAUCCUGGCUCAGGAUGAACGCUAGCUACAGGCUUAACACAUGCAAGUCGAGGGGCAGCAUGGUCUUAGCUUGCUAAGGCCGAUGGCAACCGGCGCACGGGUGAGUAACACGUAUCCAACCUGCCGUCUACUCUUGGACAGCCUUCUGAAAGGAAGAUUAAUACAAGAUGGCAUCAUGAGUCCGCAUGUUCACAUGAUUAAAAGGUAUUCCGAGGUACGACGUAGGGUAGGGUAG